ACAACAAAAAGCACGGAUGAUGAGACUGAAACAUUCUUUUGUGCAUCAGUUGAUACUUAAACUAAAUAAGGAGCUUAAUGCAUAACAACAUUAUCAAGGCUGCAAUGCGAGUAAAUUUUUGUUGUAUGGAUUGUUUGUGAAAUAUCUGUCUUAUUUGUCUUGUUUAUGUAUUGUGUUGUA